CCACCGACUCGGUUUCCUCCUGGGAGGCUCUCCGCUAUAAAUCCAUCCCGAUCCCCCUGCCUCUCUUCCAUGGCUUCCUUCUCUUCUCGCGUGGUUUGUUCCUCCCCCGUCUCUCCCGCCGCGGGUGGCUGGUAAGUCAGUAGGUAAGGAGCAAUCAAUUUCGAUCUCACCUCGUUCUCUGCCCUUUGUUCGUCAGGUGAAUACUCGAUCGGUUCUAUUCAAUUUGGUUUGGGGGUCUGUUUUCGGCGCUGCUUGAUCCGUUCGGUUUGGGGUGUCUAUUUUCGGCGAUUCGUCUCUGCUGUUGCGUUAGUUUUCUGAAUGGUACCCUAGUUUUGAUUUGUUUAUGGCUAAUCGUGAUUUUCUGCUUUGGCAAUAUACUCUGUUAAGAUUGCACGGCCGAGUUGUUUUGCCCCAAUUUCUGUUCGUGGGAUGAAUUUUUCAUGUAGGUUAAGAUAUCUUGUGAAUGAUCAAUGGUAGAUAAACAGAAGUUUGUGUCCUGAAAUUGGUCAAUGGCCUAAAGAGUACAGGAUUGUUCUGUUCCUUUCAAGUUUUGAAGCUUGGUAGUUCAAGACAUUUCGGCUGCUUGCAAUUAUGCAAUUUUUGUUUCAGAUCUGUUUAUUUCAUGAUAACGUCAAGUACUAUCGGAACAUGUAAACAGGAUUUGAGAUGGUUUUCUUAGGUUUGUUCAGACCUUUCAAAUCACCAUGAUGUUAAUUUGCUCGAUUCCGUCAAGACGUACUCUUCAGAUUAUAUGAGGAUGGUUGGGUGUUACCUAAAGGGCCAUGCAGUGCUUUUUGGCUUUUUAAAAAAUUGGAACAAAUGUGCUAAAAGUUUUGAGAUAAAGAGGGCGGUGCUAUAGUUCCAGUUUUUAUUCAUGAGGAUUAAAGGAGCUCUUUUUGACUGCCUUCCCUGCGGAUUAAUUUUAUGCUAGUACAUGAACUACAGAUUACUUACCUGCUCGGUUUGAGUUGGUUUGCUUCCAUUACCACCGAUGUCCGACCCCUUUAUCUGUAAUAUGAAUAAUAUGAAAAAUUUUGGCAUAUUAAAACCAGAGAAAUUGAAGCAUGUGGUGGUCAUGUUUAGGAUUAGUCAUUGGUGAUGGUUUCUCCGUUCCAUUCAAGACUGGUGCUAUUUUUUUCUGAUCAAAACUAAAAAGUGAUGAUCUUAUUUGGAGGCAAUUUGUCUGCUUGGAAAUCUGUAGUUACAAGUCCAAUCCUGGUAGUACACUUGUAUGGUUAAUUCAUUUUUGUCGGAACAUUUAGACGUGGUCAUAGUUCUCAGAGGAUUUUGAUUAUUUGUUUUCUUCCGGCAAGCUAUAUUAGUCAGUUAUUGUGAAGGUGAUUAUGUAGUAGCUAAAAGGGGCACCCUAAAGUUUCUGUGGUUGAGGAUUCCUUUGGCAGUUACUUCCUUUGAACAAUAUAAAAAGCUGUGAAGAUGAUUCUGGAAUCUUACUAUUUUUGGUCAAAUUAAUUCGAAGAUCUGUUUCGAGAAAAUAUAUGGACCUGAAUUUGCAUGCCUGCCCUGAAGAUAAGUCGAUGUUGAUUGUAAAGUGUGACAUUAUAAAGCUAUCUGUUUGUCGGUUCUUCUGGGUAGAAAUUUAUGGACUCUGGAGGAGCUGAGUUCUCGGUAGCACUAAUUUCUAAUUGGUUGAUCCUUUUUGUUUCUCCAGUAGUAUCUUUACAUCUAGGCUUUGUACUGUUCCAUGAUUAGCUAGAUUGUGGGUUCAUUCCAAUAUAGGGUUGGCCCUUUGUCUGUUUGUCUGGUGUAUUGUCUUGUAAUCCUUGUGUUUAUUAAGCAUCCUUCAGAUGUUGCAAAUUGUAAAUAUAAAAUGAUACAGACGUCCUUGUCCUGAUUUA